UUUUAUUAUAUUUUCAAGGGCCAUGCUGUAAAGUCCGCGGUCACACUAGCUUCCGGUCACUGAUAGCUCGUCACUUUUUUCUCAAAGCCGGGGCGUGGAACAACUGUAAAAAAUGUGAUUUCCUGUGUAUGGGAUGCUGCGGCUGUACGCAUGGCAAUUGAAAAUGGAUACAAAAUGGAAGUCUUGAUAUCCCCAACACGUGUUCGUCGACUGUAGACGCACUUCAAUGCAUGUGAAAGCAAGCGUGCCGAUCCACUGGUUAUCGGUGGAUACAUAGAAUCUUCACUUCAAUGAAGACGGCUGCAGUGUCAAAUCCUAUGCUGAUCUAAAUGAUCUUUUGGUUUCGUGGCAGACGGAGCCUCAGGGAAAUAAAACAUGUGGUUGACCAAUUUAGGUUCCACACGGCUCACAGUAGCGUCCCACGUGUCCAUCCCCGAUAGCAAUAUGUCCACAUAAUAACUGAUAAAUAAAUGACUUUAUUUUAAAUAUUA